GACGAACGCUGGCGGCGUGCCUAAUACAUGCAAGUCGAACGCAGUGGGGACGGGUGCGUAACACGUGGGUAACCUCCCAUCAGAGGGGAUAACCCUUGGAAACUGGUGCUAAACCCAUACUGAUGGAUGUACCCGCGUUGCAUUAGCUAUGUGGUGAGGUAACGGCUCACCAAGGCCACGAUGCCUAGCCGACCUGAGAGGGUGAUCUGCCACACUGGUACUGAGACACGGCCCAGACUCCUACGGGAGGCAGCAGUAGGGAAUCUUCGGCAAUGGACGAAAGUCUGACCGAGCAACGCCGCGUGAGUGAAGAAGGUUUUCGGAUCGUAAAACUCUGUUGUUAGAGAAGCGGUAUCUAACCAGAAAGCCACGGCUAACUACGUGCCAGCAGCCGCGGUAAUUC
rnacentral:rRNA from 1 species